rnacentral:lncRNA from 1 species
CUGAAGUAAAUAUGAUAAAACUUUGUCGUAGAUACCAAGGUGUUUAAAAAUUGCUCUAUGUGUUUUUCUUUAUACUUAUUUCAAACCAAAAAAUUAUUUCAUCUUUGUAAACAAUGAGGAAAAUACACAUAAGUUUUAUAAAAUGCAACACUCUCAUCCAAAGAAGACUAAUUUUAACAUUUUGAUGUAUAUGAGUCCAGACUGUGCCAUACGUUCAUUUGCCUACAAGUCCUAAUAUAUAAUAUGCGUUGGUGCUUUUUGUUGUUGUUUUUUUUGGGGGGAUAGUUUUUGAAGAAGCCAAAAAUUUUUUAAAAAGUUCUAUUUAUAAGGUAGAUGACUCUGAGGUUUGUUCUUUCUCUGAGUCUGCGUCGGCUCGCCUUCCUUGAUUCUACGACGUUUUGUCACAGUUCCACAGUCCCGUUUGUAGAUCGUGUGGGUUAUUCUUCACCCCACUCUGUCCACUUGGGGGCUAUCUCAGUCCAUUUCAGAUCUGAGACUGGACGGAGGCCGACACCCGUUUCCAAGCCAAGUCUUCCUGUGCGGCCGACAUUCAUCAGAUCACCCUCCCUCUGUGAAACGAGGUCUCCUAACGGCACCCCCUGACUUUUUUUCGACACCCUCAUACAUUUGGCCCUCGGUAUCCACAGUGUUCCCCACCGAUGGAUUCAAUCAACCAGGAAUCGAAAAUAUCCUUUAAUAAAUUGCAUCUGUACUGAACACGUACAGACUUUUCCUUACCAUUAUUCCCUAAACAACACAGUAUAACAAUUAUUUACAUUGCAUUAGGUAUUAGAAAUAAUCCAGAGAAGAUUUAAAGUACACGGAGGAUGUGCGUAGGCGAUAUGCAAAUAUUACGCCAUUUUAUAUCAGGGACUUGAGCAUUCCGGAUUUGGUAUCAGCACAGGUCCUGGAACCAAUUCCCCAAGGAUGUGGAAGGAGGACUGUAUCAUUCAGGAAAAAGUACAAUCCUCUGCGGUGCUGCCCCCAGCUCCCCGCCUUCACCACUGCGCCUGCGCCUCCGAGAACGGACUACAACUCCCAGGAUGCACCGCGCCCGCCACCGCCCUGGCAGCCCGACUUCCUGCUGGAGGUUUCCUGUGGCUUGGGGCUCCGCCCGGUAUGGGGAAAGUUUAAGGCGGAAGAGCCCUCGUUUGUCGGCUGCUUGGGAAGUCUGAGGAUUACUGGGACUAACAGGACUUCAGCUGGGGCUUCAACGUGUGGUGUGGGCUUCCUGACACCACGGCCACUGGUUUCCAAGAGUUUCAACAAUAUUUUCAUCAUAUUUAUUGAAGGCCUCACUGACAGACUUCUCAAGGCCCCUCUACCUUCUAUUCGCUGCCUGGCCCCAAAGCCAGUGCCACACAUUUUAGGUUUUUAACUGCAGCAGCACCUAUGAUGUUUCCAAAAUCUGUAUCAUUAAAGUUUGAUCAGAGAAGCAAAACCACCUUGAGCAAAACAAGGAAUUUAUUAAAGAGAUUAGGAUACACAUUGUUAUGAAAGCUGCAACCUGCUGCCCCUGUGUCCAGAAGUGGGCCUGAAGUCAGCAGGGCUGGCAAAUGGAUGUGCAGUGGGAGAGAGUAGGCGUGAGCUGCACCUGCAGGGAGGAGAUGGAACUCCUGUGGAUGGACUGAAACUGAUGUCUUCCACGUCAGCCUCUCAGGCCUCCAACACUCCAGCGCUGAUGAUGAAGAUGACCUGCAGAGGAGCUGGUGCCCUUCACCAUGGAAUUGCUCAUAAACCCAAGAUUCAGUGAAGCUGAAGAAGCAGUUCUGGUGGGAGCUGGAGGAACUGCAGGCACAGCUGCUGCCCUGUACCAAUACAUUGAGCCAGUGGCUGCCUGGCAUUGUGUGUGAGCCACCACAGCGCCUGGCCCUACACAGACUUUGACUGUAAAUAUGACUGCUGUUUCACUUCUGCCUUCCAAAUUUUGCUCAGAUUUUCUGAGAAACAUAGUUCAGCUUAGGUACAUUGACACAGUACAAAGCCACCGCAGUGGCUGGUUAGGGAGGGAUUAUGAAUGCAGGCUGAGAAUGCACGGGAAGCGUUUGUCUAUUUAUAGAGUAGGUACCAUUCAAGGAUUUAUGUGAAUCAGGUGCAAAGAACUCACACAAAGAUGGGGAAAGUUAGUACUUAGAAAUCAGUGAUACUAGAUAACCAAUAAAUAAAAAUAAACUUAUUUUUAGAAAAUAAGAAAAUAGAAAAGCUUUAAUAAAAUAGUAUUGGGCCGGGUGCAGUGGCUCACGCCUGUAAUCCUAGCACUUUGGGAGACUGAGGUGGGCGGAUCACCUGAGGUCAGGAGUUCCAGACCAGCCUGGCCAACAUGGUGAAACCCAAUCUCUACUAGAAAAAACCACAAAAAUUAGCUGGGCGUGGUGGUACGUGCCUGUAAUCCUAGCUCCUCGGGAAGCUGAGGCAGGAGAAUCGCUUGAACUCAGGAGGUGGAGGGUGCAGUGAGCCAAGAUCGUGCCAUUGCACCCCAGCCUGGGUGACAGAACAAGAUUCUAUCUCAAAAAAAUAAAAAUAAAAAUAAAUAAAUAAAAUAGUAUUGAAAUGGUGAAUAAUACUAUUUCAGCACAUCCUAAACAGAUCAUGCAGAUAGUAAGAGGUUUUCUGCAUGAGUUUGCUAGGGCUGCCGUAACAAAACACCAUGGACGGGAGCUUUAACAACAGAAAUUGAUUUCUCACAGUUCUGCAGGCAGGGUGUUCAGGACCAAGAUAUUGGCAGGCUUGGUUUCUCUGAAUCCUCUCUCCUUGGCUUGCAGGUGGCUGUUUUCUUUUCUUUUUUCUUUUUUUUUCUUUGAGAUGGAGUCUCACUCUGUCACCCAGGCUGGAGUGCAGUGGCGCAAUCUCAGCUCACUGCAGCCUCUGCCUCCUGGGUUCAAGCGAUUCUCCUGCCUCAGCCUCCUGAAUAGCUGGGAUUACAGGUGCCUGCCACCACGCCCAGCUAAUUUUUGUAUUUUUAGUAGAGAUGGGGUUUCACCAUGUUGAUCAGGCUGAUCUCAAACUCAGGACUUCGUGAUCCACCUGCUUCGGCCUCCCAAAGUGCUGGGAUUACAGGUGUGAGCCACCACGCCCGGCAGCUUGCAGGUGGCUGCUUUCUUGCUGUGUGUUCACAUGGUCAUUCGUCUGUGUGUGCACACGUGUAGUGUCUGUGUCUGUGUCCUAGCCUCCUCUUCUUAUAAGGACACCAGUCAAACUGGAUUAGGGCCCACUUUCCUGACCCCCUUUUACCUUAAUUCCCAUUUUAAAAGGCUUAUCUUCAAAUACCAUCACAUUCUAAGGUACUGGGGGUUAGAGCUUCAAUAUGUGAGUUUUAGGGAGACACAGUUGAGCUCAUAACAUUUUCUAUAGAACAAUCAAGUUUGAGACAUGCCACAUGCUAUAUUUUCUUCUUGGAAAUUUGCAAGGUAUAUAUGCAUAUGAAUGACUGUGCAAAGUCCUGGAAAACAUCCAGUAUUCAUCUUUCACACUCUCCCUGUUUGAUCCAUUAUUUAUUGAUAACCUUCCACUGGCUUCCUUUAUGCAUUGGCUGAGUGCAUUGAGCUGCCGCAUGGAAAUAUGAUCUGCCGGCUGCCGCUGGCAGUCAGGAAGGGAAGGUGGACAUGGAGAGAGCAAGCAAAAGCUGGAGUCUCAAGGAGAUGAAGUGGAACCCAGGGCUGUAUCUCAUUAGAGCGCAUGUUGGCCUCUCAUCACUUCCAGGCCUCCGGCUUUGAAGAUGCUCGGGGAGUUGCUUUGGAGGGCUACGUGGAGAGAAUGGGAUUGGUAAGUGGGCAAGAGGGUUGGUUCUUGCUGGAUGGAAUUGCGUCUUCCAUCUCUUCCAAGGGGACUUCUGGAUUGCCAGGGGCCUGGCAUGUCCUGCCUCACCCAUACUUGCUGGCCAGGGUGAGUGGCCUCUCACCUGGCCUAACCUUGCUGCCCUCUUUGUUGUGCUCUUUGUGGGUGAGGAAAAGAGCAGAGCUGCGGAUGCCACUGGAGCGUGGCCAGGCUGGGUGAGGACCCACACAGAAAAGUGUGGGCAGGCGUGGUGGGUGGGGGCGGGGGAUAAGGCAUGGGCCCUGGGCAGUCAGCCAGUGCCCCCGUCACGCCCUGGCUCCAGGUGUCCAGCAUCAGCCGUGUGCACAUCCCACCUCGCAGGCCUCUCCCGGCUGCUGGCCCACUUUCUGCAUGCUACUCCUACUUCUCUGACCUCCUGCUCAGCUCAGCUAUCCUAGCUCCGAGUUUCGCCUUUCUUCUUGAAUACAAUCAGAAUUCUCUCUGUUGGCCCUGGACCCCCAUGCUGAACAAUUCCCAUGGUGCUGGCCUUCUCUCAAUCCUCUGAAUUAAACCCCAGACUCACUGCAAGUCUUCAGCCAAGUGAAGACUUCCGGUGGCCUCUCUGCCACCCUGGCACUCGAGGAAGCAGAUGCUUCUCUCUCUUCCUGUAGUGCUCUUACCAUGAAUCAUCUCCAGGUCCUCCCAACAGGAUCAGUCAGCUCCUCAUCUCAGCUGUGCUGUAACCCUGGUAUCUCUGCAGCCUGGUGAAGAUGACGGUGUUUUAAUGAAGCGUACAUCUCUACAGUAACUGGCCUGGCACAUGCAAACAGGAACAGCAGCUUCCUCUCCUGCAAGGCACGGUGCAGAUUGCUUUCCACGCAUUAUUUCUGCUCCUCGCACCACCCUCCCCAACCCGAAAGAUAGAGCAUAUUGUCCUAAUUUUACCAAGCAGAAAACUGGCUCCCAGAGAGCAGCUCUGCUCAGCUAGGGCAUGUCAGAGCACUGCCUGGGACCCACAUCUCCUGACUCCAGGGCCAAGGCACCUCUGGGCCCUCACACGGGCAUUAAUAGAGAUACAUUUCAUGUUCAAACCAGCCCUUUGGCCAAGCAUCAUCCUCAGUCUCUCAGAACUUACUGCAUUUUCUUCUAAACCCCAAUUCAAAAGUUCCAUAUAGCAUGGUGGUUCGUGCCUAUAAUCCCAGUGGGAGGCCAAAGUGGGGGGACUGCUUGAAGCCAGGAAUUUGAGACCAGCCUGGGUAACAAAGCGAGACCCCAUGUG